rfam:Triticum aestivum genome assembly, contig: Triticum_aestivum_CS42_TGACv1_scaffold_097042_2AL
CAUAUACUCCCUCCGUCCGAAAAUACUUGUCCGAGGAAUGGAUGUAUCUAGAUGUAUUUUAAUUCUAAAUACAUCCAUUUAUAUCCAUUUCUACGACAAGUAUUUUCGGACGGAGGGAGUAGAUA